ACUGAAGUUGGAAUGUUGCGCUCACAGUUUGCACUCGUACAGGUUCUCCCUUCAGCAAAAGUGCAUUCACCAAGGCUUCCGUGACAGAAGAAAGAAAUCUUUUGCAGCUAUGUUAUGUAACCUCAAAUUGAGUCUUAAUCCGACUAUGGGAACAUCGCAGUGCGCUUCGUCUGUUUAUAUUCGAUUGUGUAACCAAGGUACAUAGAAAUUGAGGAGUUUCAUAGAACAUGUCUGUAUACCCUUUCUCACAUGCUUACAUAACCACGACGAUAUGUGCAUUAUCCCGCAAUUUGCAGAUCGGAAUCUCUGCGAUUAAAUGCGCAGAAAUUACUUUUGACCAUGUAAAACCUAAGAUGUUCCUAAAUGUUGGGACGAAUGUGGUGUGCUUUCACAUGUUUCUCUCGCUAGUGCUUGUGCUGUUGCAUUUAAUUUACGUGCCGUGUCCUGUAGCACGAUAUGUAAAUAAAUGCUUCCGUUCAUCCCA
rnacentral:lncRNA from 1 species